UAGGGAAUCUUCGGCAAUGGGGGCAACCCUGACCGAGCAACGCCGCGUGAGUGAAGAAGGUUUUCGGAUCGUAAAGCUCUGUUGUAAGAGAAGAACGUGUGUGAGAGUGGAAAGUUCACACAGUGACGGUAACUUACCAGAAAGGGACGGCUAACUACGUGCCAGCAGCCGCGGUAAUACGUAGGUCCAGAGCGUGGUCCGGAUUUAUUGGGCGUAAAGCGAGCGCAGGCGGUUUAAUAAGUCUGAAGUUAAAGGCAGUGGCUUAACCAUUGUUCGCUUUGGAAACUGUUACACUUGAGUGCAGAAGUGUAGAGUGGAAUUCCAUGUGUAGCGGUGAAAUGCGUAGAUAUAGGGAGGUACACCGGUUGCGAAAGCGGCUCUCUGGUCUGUAACUGACGCUGAGGCUCGAAAGCGUGGGGAGCAAACAGG
rnacentral:rRNA from 1 species